rnacentral:rRNA from 1 species
UACGUAGGUGGCAAGCGUUAUCCGGAAUUAUUGGGCGUAAAGCGCGCGCAGGUGGUUUCUUAAGUCUGAUGUGAAAGCCCACGGCUCAACCGUGGAGGGUCAUUGGAAACUGGGAGACUUGAGUGCAGAAGAGGAAAGUGGAAUUCCAUGUGUAGCGGUGAAAUGCGUAGAGAUAUGGAGGAACACCAGUGGCGAAGGCGAGGUUCUGGUCUGUAACUGACACUGAGGCGCGAAAGCGUGGGGAGCAAACAGG